rnacentral:rRNA from 1 species
GAUGAACGCUAGCUACAGGCUUAACACAUGCAAGUCGAGGGGCAGCAUUAUCGAAGCUUGCUUUGAUAGAUGGCGACCGGCGCACGGGUGAGUAACGCGUAUCCAACCUUCCCCAUAGUCAGGAAUAGCCCGGCGAAAGUCGAAUUAAUGCCUGAUGUUUUCCACGGACGGCAUCUGAUGUGGAACAAAGAUUCAUCGCUAUGGGAUGGGGAUGCGUCUGAUUAGCUUGUUGGCGGGUAACGCCCACCAAGGCAACGAUCAGUAGGGGUUCUGAGAGGAAGGUCCCCCACGAUUGGAACUGAGACACGGUCCAAACUCCUACGGGAGGCAGCAGUGAGGAAUAUUGGGUCAAUGGGCGAGAGCCUGACCAGCCAAGUAGCGUGCAGGACGACGGCCCUA